UACGGGGGGGAGCAAGCGUUGUUCGGAUUUACUGGGCGUAAAGGGCGCGUAGGCGGCCACCGCAAGUCGACUGUGAAAUCUCCGGGCUUAACCCGGAAAGGUCAGCCGAUACUGCGGGGGCUAGAGUGCAGAAGGGGCAACUGGAAUUCUCGGUGUAGCGGUGAAAUGCGUAGAUAUUGGGAGGAACACCGGUGGCGAAGGCGGCCACCUGGACCGGUUCUGACGCUGAUGCGCGAAAGGCGUGGGGAGCAAACAGG
rnacentral:rRNA from 1 species